rnacentral:rRNA from 1 species
CAAUAGCGUAUAUUAAAGUUGUUGCGGUUAAAAAGCUCGUAGUUGGAUUUCUGCCGAGGACGACCGGUCCGCCCUCUGGGUGUGUAUCUGGUUUGGCCUGGGCAUCUUCUUGGAGAACGUAGCUGCACUUGACUGUGUGGAGCGCUACCCAGGACUUUUACUUUGAGGAAAUUAGAGUGUUUCAAGCAGGCAUACGCCUUGAAUACAUUAGCAUGGAAUAAUAAGAUAGGACCUCGGUUCUAUUUUGUUGGUUUCUAGAGCUGAGGUAAUGAUUAAUAGGGAUAGUUGGGGGCAUUCGUAUUCCGUUGCUAGAGGUGAAAUUCUUGGAUUUACGGAAGACUAACUAUUGCGAAAGCAUUUGCCAAGGAUGUUUUCAUUAA